rnacentral:rRNA from 1 species
GGGAUAACAGGCUGGUCUUGCCCGAGAGUUCCUAUCGACGGCAAGGCUCGGCACCUCGAUGUCGGCUCGCCCUAGCGCGGGGCUGGAGAAGGUCCCAAGCGUUUGGCUGUUCGCCAAUUAAAAGGGCACGCGAGCUGGGUUCAGACCGUCGUGAGACAGGUUGGUCUCUAUCUGUUGCAGGCGUUGAUACUUGCGGGGAGUUGGCCCUAGUACGAGAGGACUGGGCUGAACGUACCUCUGGUCUACCGGCUUUGCCACCAGGCGAACCGCCGGGUAGCUAUGUAUGGACGGGAUAAGCGCUGAAAGCAUCUAAGCACGAAGCCCACCCCAAGAUUAGGUAUCGUCCGAAAGGACAAGAUCUCCUCGAAGACUACGAGGCUGAUAGGCUCUAGGUGUGCGCACCGUAAGGUGUUUAGCCAAGGAGUACUAAUGAUCUCC